UAGGGAAUCUUCGGCAAUGAACGAAAGUCUGACCGAGCAACGCCGCGUGAGUGAAGAAGGUUUUCGGAUCGUAAAACUCUGUUGUUAGAGAAGAACAAGGACGUUAGUAACUGAACGUCCCCUGACUGUAUCUAACCAGAAAGCCACGGCUAACUACGUGCCAGCAGCCGCGGUAAUACGUAGGUGGCAAGCGUUGUCCGGAUUUAUUGGGCGUAAAGCGAGCGCAGGCGGUUUCUUAAGUCUGAUGUGAAAGCCCCCGGCUCAACCGGGGAGGGUCAUUGGAAACUGGGAGACUUGAGUGCAGAAGAGGAGAGUGGAAUUCCAUGUGUAGCGGUGAAAUGCGUAGAUAUAUGGAGGAACACCAGUGGCGAAGGCGGCUCUCUGGUCUGUAACUGACGCUGAGGCUCGAAAGCGUGGGGAGCAAACAGG
rnacentral:rRNA from 1 species